rnacentral:rRNA from 1 species
GGAUGUUGGCUUAGAAGCAGCCAUCAUUUAAAGAAAGCGUAAUAGCUCACUGGUCGAGUCGGCCUGCGCGGAAGAUGUAACGGGGCUAAACCAUGCACCGAAGCUGCGGCAGCGACGCUUAUGCGUUGUUGGGUAGGGGAGCGUUCUGUAAGCCUGUGAAGGUGUACUGUGAGGUAUGCUGGAGGUAUCAGAAGUGCGAAUGCUGACAUAAGUAACGAUAAAGCGGGUGAAAAGCCCGCUCGCCGGAAGACCAAGGGUUCCUGUCCAACGUUAAUCGGGGCAGGGUGAGUCGACCCCUAAGGCGAGGCCGAAAGGCGUAGUCGAUGGGAAACAGGUUAAUAUUCCUGUACUUGGUGUUACUGCGAAGGGGGGACGGAGAAGGCUAUGUUGGCCGGGCGACGGUUGUCCCGGUUUAAGCGUGUAGGCUGGUUUUCCAGGCAAAUCCGGAAAAUCAAGGCUGAGGCGUGAUGACGAGGCACUACGGUGCUGAAGCAACAAAUGCCCUGCUUCCAGGAAAAGCCUCUAAGCAUCAGGUAACAUCAAAUCGUACCCCAAACCGACACAGGUGGUCAGGUAGAGAAUACCAAGGCGCUUGAGAGAACUCGGGUGAAGGAACUAGGCAAAAUGGUGCCGUAACUUCGGGAGAAGG